rnacentral:rRNA from 1 species
CCUACGGGAGGCAGCAGUGAGGAAUAUUGGUCAAUGGACGAGAGUCUGAACCAGCCAAGUAGCGUGAAGGAUGACUGCCCUAUGGGUUGUAAACUUCUUUUAUAUGGGAAUAAAAUGUUCCACGUGUGGGAUUUUGUAUGUACCAUAUGAAUAAGGAUCGGCUAACUCCGUGCCAGCAGCCGCGGUAAUACGGAGGAUCCGAGCGUUAUCCGGAUUUAUUGGGUUUAAAGGGAGCGUAGGUGGAUUGUUAAGUCAGUUGUGAAAGUUUUCGGCUCAACCGUAAAAUUGCAGUUGAAACUGGCAGUCUUGAGUACAGUAGAGGUGGGCGGAAUGCGUGGUGUAGCGGUGAAAUGCUUAGAUAUCACGAAGAACUCCGAUUGCGAAGGCAGUUCACUGGACUGCAACUGACACUGAGGCUCGAAAGUGUGGGUAUCAAACAGGAUUAGAUACCCGAGUAGUC